rnacentral:lncRNA from 1 species
AACAAACAAAAUCUCACACGCCACUUACGUACGAACGCAAAAGUUAUGCAAGCAUAAAGCCAGUACGUAGUAUAUUUGUAUUUACUUGUUGAACCUGUGUUAUCAAUCGCAGAUGGAAUACGACCAGCAACUGCAAUUUGUCAGUGACGUUUUCAAAAUGCUGAAAAUGUGGAAUAGUGGGUCAAGGUUGGAAAGAUAAGGAAACUAUACAAAUGUAACAGAAGGUCUUGCCACAUUUGCAUCACAGAUGCCAUGCAUGUCUUAUGGCUACUUAAAGAAAGAUAUGCAGGUAUAGAUGUGUCGAAUACUCGAAUCGACGCAGAUAGAAAAAACAUCAACGUCGCCAUGUAAAAGUCUGGCAAAGUUUUUUCGCGCCUUCGAUCAUAUAUUGAUUAGCUAAAUUCAAUCGUCUGACAAACAGAUGACGAGACCUACAUCUUCUAGCGGCAGCAUAUGUCGGGUACAAUGACGAAACCCGAAGACCAAUUCCUUGUUAGUCUCCAUUUGUUUUGUGUUGUGUCUCAAGGACAAAAGGAACAAAAUCAAGUGCCCUGUCAGCCGAAAAGUGCACUCGGGAGGUAUUUCCACAUUGACAGACAGAUACCAAUCGCUGAAGCUAAAUGGAGAAGAACACAGCCGAGAUGGAACUUUGUCUGGAAAGUGAAGGCCACCCAAAGCAGAAGUUCACGAGGAGGCAUUCAAUCUGGAAGGUUAGAUUGCAAGUAUCUGCUGGAUGGAUGCUGGCGUGUAUAAAUAAGAGGACAGGCGACUCUAUUCAUCAGUUGAAUUUCAGUUGAAUCGACAGCAGCACCAAGUUGUUUCUUUCGUGUAGUUUUUACAAAGCGCUUGAAGAUGGUUUACUGCUACAUUCUGGUGAGAGUGCAUCAACAAUUGUAGAAUCAGUCAGUAAUUGAAAUGGUAAUUAAUCGUUCGUACUUGUUUG